rnacentral:rRNA from 1 species
UUUAUGGAGAGUUUGAUCCUGGCUCAGGAUGAACGCUGGCGGCGUGCCUAAUACAUGCAAGUCGAGCGAACGGACGAGAAGCUUGCUUCUCUGAUGUUAGCGGCGGACGGGUGAGUAACACGUGGAUAACCUACCUAUAAGACUGGGAUAACUUCGGGAAACCGGAGCUAAUACCGGAUAAUAUUUUGAACCGCAUGGUUCAAAAGUGAAAGACGGUCUUGCUGUCACUUAUAGAUGGAUCCGCGCUGCAUUAGCUAGUUGGUAAGGUAACGGCUUACCAAGGCAACGAUGCAUAGCCGACCUGAGAGGGUGAUCGGCCACACUGGAACUGAGACACGGUCCAGACUCCUACGGGAGGCAGCAGUAGGGAAUCUUCCGCAAUGGGCGAAAGCCUGACGGAGCAACGCCGCGUGAGUGAUGAAGGUCUUCGGAUCGUAAAACUCUGUUAUUAGGGAAGAACAUAUGUGUAAGUAACUGUGCACAUCUUGACGGUACCUAAUCAGAAAGCCACGGCUAACUACGUGCCAGCAGCCGCGGUAAUACGUAGGUGGCAAGCGUUAUCCGGAAUUAUUGGGCGUAAAGCGCGCGUAGGCGGUUUUUUAAGUCUGAUGUGAAAGCCCACGGCUCAACCGUGGAGGGUCAUUGGAAACUGGAAAACUUGAGUGCAGAAGAGGAAAGUGGAAUUCCAUGUGUAGCGGUGAAAUGCGCAGAGAUAUGGAGGAACACCAGUGGCGAAGGCGACUUUCUGGUCUGUAACUGACGC